GGUAGCAUAAUCAUUAGUCUUUUAAUUGGAGACUGGUAUGAAUGGCUAAACGAGAGAUCAACUUUUUUUACCGUAAAAAUUGAAUUUAACUUUUUAGUGAAAAGGCUAAAAUUUUUCAGAAAGACGAGAAGACCCUAUAGAGUUUUAUAAAGGACUAAUACUUUUUAUUUGGAUUUUUAUAAAAAAUAUUAAUAAAUUUAUUUUGUUGGGGCGACAUUUAGAUAAAAAAAACUCUUUAUAAGAAAAAUUUUUAUGAAAAUAUGGAUUGAUCCUUUAAAAAAGAUCAUAAGAAAAAAUUACCUUAGGGAUAACAGCGUAAUCUUUUUUGAGAGUUCUAAUCGACAAGAAGGUUUGCGACCUCGAUGUUGGACUAAAAUUAGGGCAGGGU
rnacentral:rRNA from 1 species